UUUUGUUAACAGGUUGAAUCUUUGUCCUGCGUCUCCGCUACACUCUGAAGCAUUGCCAUCGGUCCCUCGCACACGACAGGCUCGUGUCUGUCCUCCUCGGCCUCCACGAAGCGGGUCCUUUGGUCGCCCCCUCAGCCAGCGGUUAGUGCUGAUUUUCCUAAGCCAUCUGAGAAGCUUGGGAGGGCUUGCUUUCCUUCGGGGGAAGAAGGAGGAAAAAAAAAAAAAGAAAAAUAGCUCCGAAAAGCCGCGAAGCAGCCGCACAGCCCCGGUGCUCAGCGCGGCCGGGGGCUCGGCACCACCCCCCCCUCCUAGCCCGGGGCUCGGCGCAUUCUCCCCGCGGCGCUCCCGGGGGGGGCCGCUCCCCACCUCGUCCUCCGCGCUCGGGGCCGCGCUGCGGGGCUGCUCGGAGGAAAAAAAAAAAUAAUAAAAAUAAUAAUAAUUAAAAAUUAAAAGACACCCCAAAA